UGUCUCUUUGCAGAAACCACACUGCAUUGUCAUGAAAGGGCCAUUUGAACAAGGUAGCUACAAUGAAAUUAUCUCAAUGCAUUUCAAUCACUUUGCAACAUCAAGGUUCAUUUCUCAGUAACAGUCUCUUUGACAAUAAAUGAAUUGCGUGAUUGGUGUGUGUUUGCGUGUGUGCAUGUGUGUGACACCCCUUCAUGAUGAAUUCCUGGGUAUGCCAAUGUUACAAGUGAUUGGUCUUUGCAUCCAUCUCUUAGCAUAAAUCCCCAGCAUCAACGUGACAUGUUGAGCAGCACCGAGCCCCCUGGAUUCUCUCAGUCUUGGUGAGAGAGGGAGUGGGGACUGUGUUCACGCUGUUACAAAAGGACAUCUAAGAGGGACAGCAGGGAGGAAGCUGGGCAGAAAUGCUCCGAAUCAAUAGCUCUUUCUUCUUGGUGGCUUGGAGCUUGCAAUCUCUCAGCCUGUGUCGAGUCAUCAUGAAACUGAAGAAUCCUUGGAAAGUCACUGGGUUGGGCACUUUUAAAAGUAGAGUCUUUUCUGUUCUGCUUAGAAACUCUCAUGGCAUGCUACAGAGAAAAGAGGAGCAGAGGCCCACAGAGCUCCCUUCACCAGAGAAGGGAGCGAGGAGGUCAGAGGGUGGAGGAGGUGGGCUGGGAUCUCCCAGGGCAGCACCUGGGCGGAGUUCUGGAGCCACUCCCAGCCUGGGGAGAAGCCCUGCCCCUACUGUUUGCUAAAAGUUUGGACAAAUCCUUCUCUGCCCUGUACCUCAGGUUUUCCAUCUGUAAAGUGGGAAGACAACCAUCCCACAGAGGUGCCAUGAAAGAUUUUUAGGGAGUACCUAAAAGGUUCUUUAGGUGCUAGUCAAGUCCCGGGGUCUCGAUGUGUCAUUAACUUGCUGUGUGGUCUUGAGCAAGUUACUUAAGAUUUGUUAGGUCUCCUUCCUUUCUUUAUAACAGGGUAAUAACCUACCUCCCUAUUUAACUUAUGAGUAAAGCAGAAUGGCUGUGAGAGUGGGCCUGGAGCCAAAGAUACCUGACUGUAAAUCUGAGCUCUGCUCCAUCAUCUUGGGUAGUCUGCUAAGGUUUCUGUCUCCUGUCCAAACCUUCAUCUGUAAACGGGAGCAAAUCAUCUCUAAUUUGUAGACCUGUUGUGAGAAUUUAAUGAUAAUGCAUGUAAAAUGCCUAGCAGGGGCCUGUCACAUAGAAUGUACCCUAUUGAUGGUAGCUGCAGGUAUAUUACAAGGUUGUACUGAAAAACAAAUGAAAGAAAGCAAUCUUUCCUUGAAAAAUGCACAGAGCUCCACAAAUCUAUGACAUCAUGAUGAUUAUGAUGAUUGUUGCAAAUGUCACAUCUUCAUGUGGAGUCGAGGUGGGCAUUAGCCACACUGUUCCCAUUACUCAAACCCCAGAUGCUCCAAUGACAGAGCCUCUGCUGAGAGGCUGACGUCAGGGAGAGGUGGAGGAGGGCAGAUCUCCCAACCCUUGGCUUCCACCAGCUUCCUCUCACCGUGGAGCCCUAAGGCCUCAGCAGACACGCUGACUUCUUUUCAGAACAAAGCACAGCAAAACAAAACACACAGCGGCUGCUGAAUGGAAAACACUUGCACUCUAGAAAGGCUGGCAAAUUCCCUGCCUCGUCCCACCCUGCACGGACAGGGCCCUCUCUGCCCAGCCACCUCCUGGUGCACCCCGCUGUAUCUCUGACCACACUUUAAAUGUGCACCCUAGGAGGUGGAUGCUCUGCAGAGAGUGUGUGUGUCUGAUCUGAGGCCUGUGGUCCCCUGAAGAAAGACCAACAGGACUGGGUGCCAUCCUGUGCCCAAGUUGUUCCCAGGAGGAGAAAGCCUGUAGGAGGGGAGCAAGCUCCCAUUCUGCCUCCAUUCCUUGCAAGGUCAGCCAGCUACAUGCUUUCUUCUGGCUGGGCCCCUGAGGGCAAUUGUUGCUUUUUCCUCUUGAGGAGUCUUUUUAUUUUCAGAGUGGCAGGGAGGAUGGUUUAUGGUGAGUAUGGACCUAAAUGAGAAGGGUGAGUAGUAGAUGGCGUAUUCUCUGGGCUGUGAAUCCUGGUCAGGUGGGGGUGGCUGGGCUGGGGCAGGAGACACUGUAAAGAGCCAGUAGGCCUGGAUUCCUUCCAGCCGUGCUGCUUCCUGCCAUUUACUCCAUCUGACCUACUUCACAGGCUGGGCUGCCAUGAGCGGCUGCUGCAGGCUGUGCACUGCACAAGGCCAAGGCUUACCAUUUGCAUGGUCUGCGGAGGAAUGGUGCUCCUGAGAGCUGUUCUCUGCAGCAGCUUUGCUCAUGGGGCACUGGUGAGCAGCAAACAGAAUCAUCGUCUUCAUCACCAUCAGCAGGAGCAGUGACUUUACCAAUGAUUGAUCAGCUGUUAUGUGCCAGGCUCUGUGCUAAGUGCUUUACAUUUUAUCCUCCCCUCCACCCUAUAUCAGCUUCCUGAGGCCUCACCAGAAGCUGAGAAGAUACUGGAACCGUGCUUCCUGUACAGCCUGCAGAACUAAUCUGGCCCCUGUGCUGUGAGAAGCCUACCCCACAUGGAAAUAUACACAGAGGAAAAUGGAGGCAGUGGCCAAAAACAUAAGUCAAGCUCCUAGUCAACAGCCAGUGCUGAUUAUCAGCCAUGUGAGUGAACCACUAGGGCCUUCUAGCCCAGUCAAGCCUUCAGAUGACUGCAGCCCCCGAUGUCACUAUACGGAGCAGGUGAACCACUCAACUGAACAUUGCCAAGCCACAGAACCAUGAAAGUUAGUACAUGGGGAAGACUGGAAAUAGAGUCCUUUAUCUCAGAUAUCAAACCCUGGCCCAGGAUACACAAGACCAGGAGUCAUCACCAUCAGUAACAGUAACAACAGCUUCAUUAACAAGUUGCUGUUCCGACGUGGGCUCCGGGGUGGGGAAGGAAGGAGGGCGUUCGGCUCAACGUCCAGGAGAGGCACCGGCGAACUCGAGAGCCAAGAGCGGCACUCCCACCUGGGCACUCCUUGCUGAUGGACCGGGACCUCCUCUCCCAUUUCUCCGGGGCCUCCAGGGCCCUCCCGCACAUUCAGCAUGAUCUCUGAGGAGUUCACUAGCUUUCCUCCCUCCGCUCUCCAGCUCCCGUUCCUACCAAAUGCACCAAUCAUCACUAAGCCAGGUCAAAGGCCAUGGGAUCAGCUGUGAUCUCUCCCUUCCUUUUUCAUUCUCCUCUCCUCAUAUCCAAACUGUCAUUAAACUCAGUGUUUCUUCCUUCAGGCUGUUUCUUGAAUUGGUUUCUUCUCUAUCCCACUAUUACUGUCCUGAUCCGUGCUAAUCCAACAGUUUCUGCCCCCACCCCAGGACAGCUUGUGUUAUCACGGCCAGGUGGAUCUUUCUAGAACACCAAGCUCAGCGUAUCCCUUCUGAUCAACAGAGAAGGAGAGGAGAGCCUACACUGUGCUGGGUCACUGUGUUACGCUAUGUGCUUGUUUCAUUUAAUACCGU
rnacentral:lncRNA from 1 species